rnacentral:rRNA from 1 species
CCUACGGGUGACAGCAGUGAGGAAUAUUGGUCAAUGGGCUUACGCCUGAACCAGCCAAGUCGCGUGAGGGAAGACUGCCCUAUGGGUUGUAAACCUCUUUUGUCAGGGAGCAACGCCGGCUACGUGUAGCCGGACUGAGAGUACCUGAAGAAAAAGCAUCGGCUAACUCCGUGCCAGCAGCCGCGGUAAUACGGAGGAUGCGAGCGUUAUCCGGAUUUAUUGGGUUUAAAGGGUGCGUAGGCGGAAUGCCAAGUCAGCGGUGAAAUCCCGAGGCUCAACUUCGGAAUUGCCUCUGAUACUGUUCGGCUAGAGAGUAGGUGCGGUAGGCGGAAUGUAUGGUGUAGCGGUGAAAUGCUUAGAGAUCAUACAGAACACCGAUUGCGAAGGCAGCUUACCAAGCUACUUCUGACGUUGAGGCACGAAAGCGUGGGGAGCAAACAGGAUUAGAUACCCGGGUAGUC